GGUGGUGUAGCUCAGUGAUAGAGUGCUUGCCUGAUAUGGCAAGGCCCUGUGUUCAAUCCUCAGCACUUCUU
rnacentral:tRNA from 1 species